GUAAGGAAUAUUGGUCAAUGGGGGCAACCCUGAACCAGCCAUGCCGCGUGAAGGAUGAAGGCGUUAUGCGUUGUAAACUUCUUUUGUAUGGGAAGAAUGACAGGGAUUCAUCCUUGGAGAGACGGUACCAUACGAAUAAGCACCGGCUAACUCCGUGCCAGCAGCCGCGGGAAUACGGAGGGUGCAAGCGUUAUCCGGAAUCACUGGGUUUAAAGGGUACGUAGGCGGUUAAUUAAGUCAGUAGUGAAAGACUGUCGCUCAACGACGGAUGUGCUAUUGAUACUGGUUAACUUGAAUCAGGUUAGAGUUGGCGGAAUGGGUCAUGUAGCGGUGAAAUGCUUAGAUAUGACUUGGAACACCGAUAGCGAAGGCAGGUGGCUGUACCUUAAUCGACGCUGAUGCACGAAAGCAUGGGGAGCAAACAGGAUUAGAAACCCUUGUAGUCC
rnacentral:rRNA from 1 species